rnacentral:rRNA from 1 species
GAUGAACGCUGGCGGCGUGCUUAACACAUGCAAGUCGAACGGAAAGGCUCCUGCUUGCAGGGGUACUCGAGUGGCGAACGGGUGAGUAACACGUGGGUGAUCUGCCCAGCACUUCGGGAUAAGCCUGGGAAACUGGGUCUAAUACCGGAUAGGACGAUGGUUUGGAUGCCAUUGUGGAAAGUUUUUUCGGUGUGGGAUGAGCUCGCGGCCUAUCAGCUUGUUGGUGGGGUAAUGGCCUACCAAGGCGUCGACGGGUAGCCGGCCUGAGAGGGUGUACGGCCACAUUGGGACUGAGAUACGGCCCAGACUCGUACGGGAGGCAGCAGUGGGGAAUAUUGCACAAUGGGCGCAAGCCUGAUGCAGCGACGCCGCGUGGGGGAUGACGGCCUUCGGGUUGUAAACUCCUUUCGCUAGGGACGAAGCGCAAGUGACGGUACCUGGAGAAGAAGCACCGGCUAACUACGUG